GAAUGUCAUGCUGUGUCCAGAAGUUUAUAGUGAAAAAGAUGGCUCAUCACCACCUAUGGAUCUUGCUCUUUUGCCUACAAACCUGUCUGGAAGCAGCUGGAAGUGACACAGACAUCUUCAUAGUGAAUGGGAUUCUGGGGGAGUCAGCUACUUUUCCCUUAAAUAUCCAACCAUCACAGAAAGUUACCUUCAUUUCUUGGCAUUCCAAAACAUCUGUUGCUUUUGUAACACCAGGAAACUUCGGAGAAGAACCCAUAGUUACCAUAACCCACCAAAAUUACCAUGAACGAAUAAAUGUCUCAGGUCAGAACUAUAACCUGGAGCUCAGAAAUCUGAAGAUUGAAGACUCAGGGAUCUACAAAGCUGACAUAAAUGUAGAGCUCACCACCACCAGGUCCUACAACCUUCAAGUUUAUCGUCGUCUUGGGAAGCCAAAAAUUACUCAGAGUUUCGUGACAUCUGUGAACAGCACCUGUAAUGCCACACUGAUGUGCUCUGUGGAUAAAGAAGAAAAGAAUGUGACAUACAGUUGGAGUCCACGAGGGGAAGCGGGCAAUGUUCUUCAAAUCUUCCAGACCCCUGACAACCAAGAGGAGACUUACACAUGUACAGCAUGGAAUCCUGUCAGCAACAAUUCUGACUCCAUCUCUGCCCAGCAGCUCUGUACAGACAUCACAAUGAGCCCCCAUAUUCACCGCACUGGACUGAUGAGUGGGCUGGCUGUGCUUUCUCUGCUUAUAAUAAUUCUUUCAGUGGUUUUGUUCCUUUUGUGCAAGAAAGAAGGUGCUCCCCACCAAGGAGGAGCCAGUGAACACAAUUUACUCCAUGAUGCAGUACUCUGA
rnacentral:lncRNA from 1 species